CCCGCCAAUACUCGCACGCACGACGUGCAUACUCUGAUGGCACGCAACGGCGCGGGGGCAGGUCGUUUCAACAUCGAGACGCUGCAAAUCUAAACGAGCCUUGGAAUGUUGCUGUGCGAUGCCUUGAUGUUACCAAAAAUCAAUAACAGAGAAAGUCUUCAAGGAUCAAAUUUAGCACUAGACCACAGAGGCGGUUAAAACUCAGUAUCAUCUUGACAGGAUAGCUGCCAAGACACUGAUUUUCAGUAGGUGCCUUGUAAGCAGGGAUACUGAUGGGAUUCAUCAAGAAAAAGAAGUCAUAGUUAUUGCAGUUCCAUCGUAACACCGAAAGCAUCCAAGCAUCCCGAGAGCAAAAUGGGAACUACGAGCAGCGUUCUCAAUGCCGGAACGGCCCGCCAAUACCCGCACGCACGACGUGCAUACUCUGAUGGCACGCAACGGCGCGGGGGCAGGUCGUUUCAACAUCGAGACGCUGCAAAUCUAAACGAGUCUCGGAAUGUUGCUGUGCGAUGCCUUGAUGUUACCAAAAAUCAAUAACAGAGAAAGGCUUUUUUCUUAGUAUUUUAAAGUAUAAUGAUGUUCAAUUAAUUAAAAGGAUGA